CACUCCUUAAGUGUAAAAGAAGAAAGGUAAUAAAGACAACGAGUUAAUAGGCCUUGUACCAGCUAUUUAAUAAAGAGUUCGUAACAGUUCACUCGAUAAACUAUUAUUCUUCUAAAAUUUUGGUGGCUAAAAGGGGGGGGAAUCAUUUUCGGGAUUCUAUCCCGGGCUCCCCAUCCAAAUCCGAAACUAUGGAUAGACGAAAGCAUAAAUACAAAAAUACAAAAAAGUUUUUCGGAAAUUGGUAGCAGAACGUAUAGUACAAAAUGGAGAUGAGUGGGGCGACCAAUAAUCUAUAGUGAUAAUGCGAACAUGAGUAAUAACAUCGGGCUGAACGCCCCUAGCCUAAGGUUUCCAAAAAGGACAUAUAAAGUUCUCUGGGUGAACCAGUCCCUAAAAAUUGAGAGAAAAGGGGUGAGGAAAGAAGCUCAAACCCGUUCGAGUCGGGAUUCUACGAAUUGGGUCCCGCGGGCGGUAAUUUUUCUCAGUAGAUGGGGUUUUUAUCUAAAAUACUGAUUAAUAGCCCAGGAAAUAAUUAGAAUGGCCCUUUUGGCCGACUGUACUAAAAUCUUACAAAAGUGGGCUAUAAAAAAGGAGAAUUAUUAUUAAGGAACUCGGCAAGUUACACGUGUAAGGUUUCGAGAAACGUGAAAAGGCGCUUGCGCGUUACCGACCCGAAUCUUUGAUUCGCAAGGUCGGCCCUACGGGCCUUUUAAAAUAAAAGGGAGCCUCGCCUGUUUACCAAAAACAUAGUUUUCAGCAAUUAACGCAAAAGCUUAGUAUUGAAAAUGAUGCCUGCCCAAUGAUUGUAUCUGAAAGGAAAGAAGGGAAGGGGAAAUCCGGCCCCCAGUAUUUUGCUUUCUAUAAGGACAAUUGAAUGGCCGCGGUAACUCUGACCGUGAUAAUGUAGCGAAAUCACUAGCCAGUUAAUUGCUGGCCUGUAUGAAUGGCUUAACGAGGGCUCCACUGUCUCAAUAAUAAACCGGGUGAAAUUGGAAAAACGGUAAAGAUACCGUAAAGGAAUUCUAAGACGAGAAGACCCCAUUGAGCUUUACUAUUAACUUGUAUUGCCGAAGCAAAAGAACUGAACGCUAAUAGAAUUGAGUAGACUAAGUGGUAUUCAAGCAGGCAACCAAGGGUUAUAGGUUUAGCCGACCCCGACCCUUACCUACCCUCGAGGUCGGCCCUACUGGGAAAGCCCACCCUACUAUGAAAAACCACUCUUUUUAUUAGGAUUACUGGCUAAAACCGUACAAGUAAGGUAGUUUGGUUGGGGCGACCGCCUUCGAAAAAGUAUCGAAGGCGCACAUAAGAUUAAUCAGGGGGGUUUUAGGCUCCAGGGGGUAAUGCCCCAAAAAAGAUUAGUUUGACUGAGAGGGCUACAACCCGAACAGGCGCUGAUCCAGGCUUGGUUUAUACCGAGACUACGCUCCCCCGUACGCGGGUCAUAGUGAUCCGUUGUUAUAUUGUGGGAUAGACAACGAUCAACGGAGAAAAGUUACCAUGGGGAUAACAGCGUAAUAUCGUUUUAGAGUACCUAUCGCUGACGAUGUUUGCGACCUCGAUGUUGAAUUGUGAUAUCCAGGAGGUGCAGCAGCUUCCAAGGGUUGGACUGUUCGUCCAUUAAAAUCAUACAUGAUUUGAGUUCUGUGCGACGAGAAGUCAUAUACCAUAAUGCAGUGAAAUUCUGUUACCUUUCCCUCUUGAGGUAAACCUAUUACCGGACCAGAAAUUGUGAAAUUUUUGUUCUUAGCAGGUAAAACAAUGUAAACUGUUUAGAAAAGUUGCUAGGUUUGCAUUCUAUGGCUAAUGUAAGUUAAUCUGUGUAAGCCCCAUAAGUUAGCCAAAUUAUUGGACUCUUAAUUUGGCAAGAGGAAAAAUGAGGACCCGGGCCUGAAUGGGAGAUGUAUAGCAGGAGCCUAAGGAGUGCGUAAUGUGUGGUAUAUGGAACUCGGUAAGCCUGAUAAUCGGAUCCUUGGAUCCCGCGUCUUAUAGUAACAAAUGGGCGUAAUGGUUAGCAGGUAGAAGAUUGCUUAAAAAAUGGGCGCCACCGGCGCCUGAUCGGAUCCUUGGAUCCCAAGGCGCCCUUACUUUUCCUGUUGGGGGAACCCCAAAAACCUUCGGCGCCCGACCUUUGGUCAACCAGAAAACUGGUUUCUGACUUAAGCAAGCCAUUAAAUUGUGGAUUGAGUUUUUUUACAAUCAAUGUGUCAACACCUACCAAAUAGUAUUUUAACAGGCGCUCAGCGCCGGUGGCGCUCAAAACAAAGGAAGCGAUCCGAUGGAUCCUGGCGCUACACAAGGUAUGAGCCGUAUGACAGGAAACUGUCCCGUACGGUUCUGGGGGGAGCGCGCCUAUAGGCGCGUAUUGCCCCAGUAGACCGGCGUGAGCCAGGUCGGUUUCUAUCUAGAAUUCAAAAAUAAACAAAGACCAAUUUACCUUCUAGUACGAAAGGAUCGAAGGAUUUAUAUCCUCUGGUGUUUCAAUUCAAAUAUAGGGAGCAAAAGGCCGGAUUCGUUGGAUCCGCCUGGCCCAAAAAUAGGUAGGGCGCCGAUACGCCGAUGGCUGGCGCCGGGGGACGACGGUCCCCGUCGUUGAGUAGCUACGAUAUAUAGAAUAAUUGCU
rnacentral:rRNA from 1 species